AGAUUGAACGCUGGCGGCAUGCCUAACACAUGCAAGUCGAACGGCAGCACAGCCCGCAAGGGUGGGUGGCGAGUGGCGGACGGGUGAGGAAUACAUGGGAAUCUACCCUGUCGUGGGGGAUAACGUAGGGAAACUUACGCUAAUACCGCAUACGACCGAGAGGUGAAAGCGGCGGACCGCAAGGCGUCGCGCGACUGGAUGAGCCCAUGUCGGAUUAGCUAGUUGGCGGGUAAAAGCCCACCAAGGCGACGAUCCGUAGCUGGUCUGAGAGGAUGAUCAGCCACACUGGAACUGAGACACGGUCCAGACUCCUACGGGAGCAGCAGUGGGGAAUAUUGGACAAGU
rnacentral:rRNA from 1 species